rnacentral:lncRNA from 1 species
ACUAUAAAGUUAAAAAAGGAAUGAUUUACUAACCGUCGAGGCAUUUUCCAAAAGGCCUACCGUUUGAAUUUUUACCUGUUACCCAUUAAUGAACGUUAUCAGGCAAGAACAAUCUAUCUUCAAGGGAAAUUUCAAAAAACAAUAAAAAUCAGAAAAUAAUAAAAUUUAUAAAUGUAUGAGGAAAAACAGAUAAGUUUUGGUGGGUGGUCCUUUCGAAACUAACUUUAUUGAAAAAUCAUUCCGCUCUGUGGUGGUCACGUAUAAUAUUUGCCUUUCUUUGAGUCAGUUCACAAUGAGAGUCUAUUGGGCGUGCAUUUGACCCAUUCUGUAUUGAAGAUAAUUAUCAUCUUACAGAACUAAUUCUUAACGGCACCUCCUUUUUUCCCUGUACGUAAUAUUAAAUGAAACCAUGUUAUAGGAAUCCAAUGUUGUAUUUGUUAAUCCUUUGACUGAAUAAGAGCCAACACGGGAAAAAGUCGAGCAAAUUACUUGAAAAUGCUGAUUUUUAUAUUUGUAUGACCUUCGCUCAUAGAAUAUCUAUUUCCAAUCUUAAUAUUUUAAAUGUCAAGGAAAAGUUCAAUUUCCCCUUCCCUUUUUCUUUUCAGCCGUGAUUUUAAGUAGGCUCACUCAAUAUAAAUAUUCAGUUUCACUUACCCCUCGUCACAAGCUUUCUAGUCGCAGUACUGAGAACUUUAGUUUUACACGCACAACCUCAAAACCUAACCUCUUUCAUCAUGUACAAGCAGGUGAUCAUCGCUCUGGCUCUUAUCGCCGCCGUCGCCGCCUCCCCCCUCGCCUACGGCUACUCCUCUUACGGUGCUACUCCUUACGCUAGCUACGGAUACCCUGCCGCUUACGCCGGUUACGGUGGUUACGGAUACGGUGGUUACGGAUACGGAGGUUACGGAUACGGAUACGGUCGUGGUGCUUACGGAGCCUACCCCUACGCCGGAUACGGUGCCGGUCUCGGCUACGGAUCCUUCGGAUUCCUCAAGAAGUAGAUGCUUCUUGACGCAGAAUCCCGCCUGUGAUAAGCUACUUUUUCUUCGGUUAUCAUCGAUCGGACGCAUGAUGAUGAUUUUCCGAGAGAUCUCACCCCCACCGACUCAAAACUCACCUCUCUCUACUGAAGCAACGAAAUCGUUGAGCAGCUAAAGUCUUCCAGUUUCAAUAAAUAAUACUGUCCCUAGCAGAUCACAAUAUUUGACAUUUGUUCAUACCCGCAGUGUAUCCUGACGAAGUUUCAAAUAUACAACCCCAACAACCAAAUCAAUUUGUUUUAAAUUUCGACCAUGUAUCCACAUCUACAAUCUACCUGCAUUAGUAAAACUUUUUAAAGUACUUUGCUUCCUCCCUGCAUUCUGCAAUGCGAAGCAUGAAGAUACAUAUUUCUUCCCUAUAAAUCACUUAUUUAUCAAAAUUUCGUCACACAAAAGUUAAACGCAGAUUAUUUGAGUAAUCCAUAGUAUUUCUUUAUGCUUUCUAUGAGAGAUUCAGUGAUAAAUACAAAUCAAAAGGACAUGCAUAAAGAAUGGUCUUAUAGCUUUAAUUCUUGCUGGAACUCAGCCAGUGCCCAAUAAGAUAAGCUCUUUUUCCUUAGUCGAAAAAAUCCUUAGAUUCCCCCUCAUUUCGCUUUAUUCUUGAUAAUCGUACUGCAAAAGCGAUAUCGACGGUGAAACUACCAAACCACGUAUUUCGGUUUGCGACGCCGCAGACUUCCUGUCAUACUUUAUUUUUUAAAUGAAAAACUACUUAACGUCCAGUCUUGAAAAUUUCUGUGAUUUUUCCUCUUCGUGCGGAGAAAAUUCUGUGAAAAUUUCAAGGAAUGAUAGUGAUUUGGUCUACUUCAAAAAAAUAAAAUGUGAGCGUAGAUUUUUAAACAUUGCAAACGAGAUACGUGGUUUGGUAGUUUCACCGUCGAUAUGUACUAUCAACCAUAAAACAUCAGUCGUAUAAAGUUGGUGUGAAAUUUAAUAAAGUUGCAUGGAGCAGUAACAAUACUUUUUCUAAAUUCUAGAUUUAGAAGCUCCAGAUUAUGGA